rnacentral:piRNA from 1 species
CGGACAAGCGCACAGCAAUGACGU